GCAUGGGGGCAUGGGGGCAGGGUCUCCACAUGGGAGCGGGUAUGCCUGCAGCACCCCAUGCUGGUCCUUGACUUUUAUUUCAUUUUCUCAAAUUCUCCAGGUGGAAUUCUGAAAUGGGGAGCCACUGGUGUGAAUGUGUCAAAUCAACUAGAUUCAAGGAAGGAUAGCGGAGGAAAGUAAUAGCUUUACUGAGAUGUAAUUCGGGUACUACACAGUUCAUCCAUCCAAAGUGCCCAGUUCAACGGCUUUCAGUAUAUUCCCAGAGGUGUGUUCAGACUAGAUUCAUCUUGAAAUACCUAGAAGAAAACAGAUCUUCCCCCUAAACUCUCGCGAUACAAUACUUCAUCUUUCAAGGGAAAACACAGAUAUUUCUUGCAGGUAAAUACUAGCACUUUCAUAGUACUAUACAGGUUUCUUCAGCUAAUCCCUGGCAUUGAUGUAGGGCUAGGGAACCAACACUUUCUUCCCCCACGUAUCUCUCUGGACUCUGUGUUUACC